CGGGUGAGUAACACGUAUGCAACCUGCCUGCCACAGCCGGAUAAUCGGGAGAAAUUCCGUCUAAUACGGCAUAAUGCAUCGACGGGACAUCCUGUUGGUGCCAAAGGUUAAUUCCGGUGGCGGAUGGGCAUGCGUCGCAUUAGUUAGUUGGCGGUGUAACGGACCACCAAGACGACGAUGCAUAGGGGUUCUGAGAGGAAGGUCCCCCACACUGGUACUGAGACACGGACCAGACUCCUACGGAAGGCAGCAG
rnacentral:rRNA from 1 species